CCCCUAUGGAGUGACCACAAGAAAGCAUAAAUUGAGGGGUCUCUGGAAGCAGUUGAAGCUGUAAGUAUUGCAAGUUAGCAUAUAUAUCUUGCAUGUUAAAAUUAGUGUGGGACUGAUAUUGAGGUACUGUGACAUAGUGGUGGACUUUACCCAAUAUGGCUAUAUGGUGGAACUGAAUCCCAAUAUUCGUUUGCUAUAAUAGG